UGAUUUAGAAAUGUGUUAGCGUCCUGGA
rnacentral:sRNA from 1 species